GACGAACGCUGGCGGCGUGCUUAACACAUGCAAGUCGAACGGUGAACUCCGCUUGCGGGGGGAUCAGUGGCGAACGGGUGAGUAACACGUGGGCAACCUGCCCUCAGCUCUGGGAUAACUCCAAGAAAUUGGGGCUAAUACCGGAUAUGACCGCUGACCGCAUGGUCUGGUGGUGGAAAGAUUUAUCGGCUGGGGAUGGGCCCGCGGCCUAUCAGCUUGUUGGUGGGGUAGUGGCCUACCAAGGCGACGACGGGUAGCCGGCCUGAGAGGGUGACCGGCCACACUGGGACUGAGACAUGGCCCAGACUCCUACGGGAGGCAGCAGUGGGGAAUAUUGCGCAAUGGGCGAAAGCCUGACGCAGCGACGCCGCGUGGGGGAUGACGGCCUUCGGUUUGUAAACCUCUUUCAGCAGGGACGAAGCGAAAGUGACGUUACCUGCAGAAGAAGCACCGGCCAACUACGUG
rnacentral:rRNA from 1 species